AUUCACUCACACAAGUUCUCUAGUUCCCUAAAGAGUGCACAGCGACCUCACACAUCAGAAGAAUAGCAGCGAUCGCACGGCCUGAAACAGCUCUGGCAGCUUCAUCUGCUCACAUGACGUCACUGGAAGAGCUUCUGCACACGCAGCAUUUGAUCCUUCCUCAACAGCUCGUCUUUGUUUCUGACCAGAAGAGCGAGUGCCAAGAUUUAAGUCUCCCUGUUCCUCGACACAGAACACAGAAUCCCGCCGGACCCUGAUUCACCAGAGUGUGAGAACAUAUGAAGCUCAUGGAAUCAAGCUGCCCACCAACAUUCAGGGAAAUGCUAUAAAAAUGAUUUAUUCAGUGGAUUAACCUGACAGAUUCAUCCAGCUGCCCAGCCAAUAGACAAGCAGCGCUUCAUCGUCACGGUAAAAGGAAGUGGAAAUUACCUCCUCCUCCUUCACUGACCACAGUCAUUCCAUUACACGUGUUACACGGGAAUAAACACAGGGACAUUCAGUUCAUGCCAGCUUGUGCUUUAUGUGUACAUGGAAACCUUCCGCUGCAGUCUGACUCUGAGCUGCUGGAAACCUUGAUGUGUGUUUUAUUGUUCACUUUCAUACAUUUCUAUAUUUCCCUGACAUAAAUAAUUUAUUAAACAUUAUUCAUAAAUUAAUUAAAUAAAAAAAGAAAAAAAGAAAAAUAUUAAAGGGUUAGUUCACCCAAAAAUGAAAAUAAUGUUAUUUAUUACUCACCCUCAUGUCGUUCCACACCCGUAAGACCUUCGUUCAUCUUCAGAACACAAAUUAAGAUAUUUUUGUUGAAAUCCGAUGGCUCAGUAAGGCCUGCAUAGCCAGCAAUGACAUUUCCUCUUUCAAGAUCCAUUAAUGUACUAAAAACAUAUUUAAAUCAGUUCAUGUGAGUACAGUGGUUCAAUAUUAAUAUUAUAAAGCGACGAGAAUAUUUUUGGUGCGCCAAAAAAACAAAAUAACGACUUAUAUAGUGAUGGCUGAUUUCAAAACACUGCUUCAGGAAGCUUCGGAGUGUUAUGAAUCUUUUGUGUCGAAUCAUGAUUCGGAUUGCGUGUCAAACCGCCAAACUGCUGAAAUCACGUGACUUUGGCGCUCCGAACCACUGAUUCGACACACUGAUUAAGUCAUUAAUAUAGUUGAUAUAAGUCGUUAUUUUGUUUUUUUGGCGCACCAAAAAUAUUCUCGAAAUAUUC